rnacentral:rRNA from 1 species
UACGAAGGGGGCUAGCGUUGUUCGGAAUUACUGGGCGUAAAGCGCGCGUAGGCGGUGAUCUUUGUCAGAGGUGAAAGCCUGGGGCUCAACUCCAGAAUUGCCUUUGAAACGGGAUUGCUUGAGUCCGAGAGAGGAUGGCGGAAUUCCUAGUGUAGAGGUGAAAUUCGUAGAUAUUAGGAAGAACACCGGUGGCGAAGGCG